rnacentral:lncRNA from 1 species
ACUCAAACUAAUGAAAGGGCUGGGCUGGCCUGAAAAGAACUCUGCCAUCAGUUCUUCCCCCCCCCCAUCCAGAAAAUAAAGACGAAGAAACCAACAGAAAGAAGGCAUUGUUUUAUUAUUAUUUAAAUCUUAUUCCACAAGAAACAAUGUUCACUAACAAGAUUUUUUAUUAUUAUUACAACUUGUAUUAAAUAACACUGUGUUAAAUAUAAAAUACUCAUUUAAAAAAACGCAUACGCGACAGAUGGUUUAAAAGACUGGACGUUUUGUUUUUCUGUGCCUUUUUUUAAAAAAAAUCACUCAAGAUUUCAUCACAGACAUUCUUCUGAAGUUACAAAUUCGUGAAAUGUUAGUAGAAAACAACAGGACAAUCAAAAUAAAAAAUAAAAAAUCCUCCAUCAUCUGGAGCAGAAUCUGGAAAAGGAUAAAAAGUAAAGCAUCCUUCUGAAGAGGAUGGAGAAAGGAUGAGCGUCUGUUGGGAGAGUUCUCCAGAACGUUGCAUCUC